UACAGAGGUCUCAAGCGUUGUUCGGAUUCAUUGGGCGUAAAGGGUGCGUAGGCGGCGCGGUAAGUCGGGUGUGAAAUCUCGGAGCUUAGCUCCGAAACUGCAUUCGAUACUGCCGGACUAGAGUUCGGAAGAGGCGAGUGGAAUUCCCGGUGUAGCGGUGAAAUGCGCAGAUAUCGGGAGGAACACCAAGGCGAAGGCAGCUCGCUGGGACGUUACUGACGCUGAGACGCGAAAGCGUGGGGAGCAAACAGGG
rnacentral:rRNA from 1 species